UACAGAGGUGGCAAGCGUUGUUCGGAAUUACUGGGCGUAAAGCGCACGUAGGCGGCUUGUUAAGUCAGGGGUGAAAUCCUGGAGCUCAACUCCAGAACUGCCUUUGAUACUGGCGAGCUUGAGUCCGGGAGAGGUGAGUGGAACUGCGAGUGUAGAGGUGAAAUUCGUAGAUAUUCGGAGGAACACCAGUGGCGAAGGCGGCUCACUGGUCCGGUACUGACGCUGAGGUGCGAAAGCGUGGGGAGCAAACAGG
rnacentral:rRNA from 1 species